rnacentral:lncRNA from 1 species
CCUGUAAUUGGAGGAAGUAAGUAUGGAGCAAGGACAGGGAUACACUCUAAACCUCUUUAAUAAAUCUUAUUUUAUAAUUUUAAUUCUGAAAUAUGUAAAUGUUUCACAUAGUUUAAAAACAAAACAUAAUUUAAAACAUUUUGCAAAUCGAUUGGCACAUGUUAAGUAUUCAAUAGGUUACCACUGACAGCAAUGGUAACAAAAAUGAUUAUACAUGCCAAAUAUUUUUACAAGCCUGGAAAUAUCAUCAAGAAAAAAAGCAAAUGUUUCCUAUUCAUAAAGUGCGAGAAACUGAGAACACAAUAAAGAUGAUACAAAUAUCAAAACAAGGGACUGGGACAAUACAUUCUAAUUUGUGAUGAUACCUUCAUAUGACUUUGGUCAAACUUGGCAUUUUAAACAUAAGCAUUUAGUACAUUCCUUUCUUAGGACACAAGACAGGAUUAUAUAUAACCAUUGGUGUAAAUGGAAAGGGACAGGAGACAGUGGCACUGGAGAGUUUUUAAUAUAUUUCGGAAAGACAAUAUUUAUGGGAGUAUUUUAACUGAUAUAACAGGGUAAUAAGCUGAGAUCUAAGUGCUUACAGUAAGAAGUCUUACUUUCUGUUAAAACAUCACCAUAAAGACCAAGAUAGUUUAGACAAUAGGUGUAAUGAAAGGAGGAAAAGGAAUAAAUCACGCUAUAAACAGAGUGAAAGAUUUGACUGCAAUCUUUUAAGGAGAACCGACGUAUUAACAGAGGGAUAAAGGGAAGGAAAUAAUAGAUCAUCUAUAAAAAAUGAAGUAGUGACAUUGCAGCCUGUUUUUAAUAGAAAAAUUAGCAAAUGACAAUGCAAAGCAAACCUCUUUCUUAGACAAAACUUUUCUCAAUUUGGUAUUUUAAUGUAGAGAAAUGCUUAUUCAAGUAUGAAAAUAUAUUUUCUGAUAUGUAAAAUCUCCAAAAUGCAUAUGUUGUUCUCCCUUUUACAGGAAGUUUGUAGAAGACGCAUUCCAAAAAGAUGUGAGAGCAAGGCCAAAAUAUUGAGGACAUAAGAUCCAGGAAACACAAUCUACAAAAUAAGCAGAGUUGAAUGAAAUUUCCAGGGUGAUGGUGAAGAGCCAUUGAAGGUCAAUAGUGCGCCUAGAGAGAAUAACGUGAACCCAGAGUGAACAGAGUCCAAAUACUCCAGGGCGAAAAUAAGGAUCGGGUGGAGAAAAAAUAUUGAAAAACUAUUGGACAAUUUUGAAAAAUUAAAGCUUGGCAAAAAUGAAACAUAACUACCAUAAAAAUAAGUCAAUGAUUAAUCUAUUUUUUUAAAAAAUAAAGGAUAAACAGGGAAAAAUAUAGUUUCAGUUUAUAGGUUUAUAAGUGAUAAAUAUUUAAAAAUUAUAUAAAUAUAGUCCCUGAAUAAUGAUUUAAAACAAUAUUAAGGUAUUAUUACUUUAUUUGGAGGAUGAAAAUCAGAAAAGUUCGUGUGUAGGGAAGAUAAUGCUCUCUGCAAGGUAAGUACUUAAUCUCGUUAUUAGAAAGUCCUUGAGUUAUAUCUGGAACUAUGAAUCAAGAGAUAGCAGCAUCAAUAUGUUAUUUUUAAAAUAUAAAGGUAAACGCAAGAAAAAAUGUGGGAAACAGUUGACUAAGGGAAGACAGUUGAACAGGGCAGGGGACAAAAAUUUUGAGUUUUUAACUUUAUAGAUUGAAUUAGUUUGAGUUGAACUUUAAAGCUUUUUUUCCCAAGCAGAUAGUUGUAUUAUUUUCAUAAAUACAUAAAUUUAUGAAAAAUGAUGGAACAUAAGUAAAAUUUUGACAAGUAAAAAGUUUUAAUAUUUUCUAAAUUUUUCCAAGAUGUAAAUAUAAAAUGACUUAAAAUAAAUGUUAAAGUGUCACUCAUAUAUUGUAACAAAUAAAAGAAUAUACAAAUGUAAAAUAGAAAACAGGCAACAUGAAGCAGUUAUUCUGUGGAUUUAAUCCUAGACAGCCAUUUUUAAGAUUUUGGCAUGUAUCUUAUUCAGGUUGCAGAAAAUGGCAAAAGAAGAAAAAAAAAAGGCAAGAGAGAAACCAUCCUAACUGGUCUUUUAAAAAGGAGUAAGAAAAUAACUUAAAACUGAGCUUAUAGAAGGGACUUCUAAAACCACAGCACAGAGGAUGGUCAGUAGUGUUUCUUCUGUGAGUACAGUGAUCAAGAAGCUGCAAUCUCAGGAAGCUGCGGCCACAGCUGUGGAUUCCAGGACCAAGCGUCCCACAUAUAAAGUAGAGGAAGAUGGGCACAGAUGUUAGCUCAGGGCCAGUCUUCCUCAGUAAAAAGAGGAGGAUUGGCAGCAGUUAGCUCAGAGCUAAUCUUCCUCGAAAAAAAAAAAAAAGACCCAAUAGAGUCAGCAGAAAUGACAAAGUACUCUUGAAAAUUUUCUCCUCCAUAAAACCAACAAGAAGAUUGGCAAAAAUUGUCAGAAUUAACUUUGUCAGUGCUCCCGAAUAACCAAAGGUAGGCAGCAAUUCAGGAGAAAUUUUUUCAAGGAAAAAAUGACUGAAGCUGUAUAAGAACAAAUAGCUUUGUGGUGUUUUAUCUUAUUUCCAUCCACCCAUCUCUGUGACUGUGGUUGCCUCUAAUCCAACAGCUGCAACUACAAUAAAACCAGCAACUGACAGCCACUGGAGGUGGCAAAACUAGGUUGGAGCUCCAUCUUUACUCACUACCAGAGAAAUGUGGUUAUUUGACCCAUCUGGUGGCUCUGAAAAACCCCACUUUCACUAGGAAGCCUGCCUUUAUUUGAUCUGACUCAACGUUUACCCAGUGUGAAGAGACUUUCCACAGGAGAUGGUAAUCACAAUUAAAGACAGUUGUUUAAUCUUGCAGCUGCUUGUGGUAGUGGAUAACAGCCAAGGCAAUAACCAAAAAUAUACACAAUAACAAGUGUUGGCAAGAAUGUGGAAAAAUUGGAACCCUAAUACAUUGGAGGAAUUUAAAAUACAGCUACUAUGGAAAUCAGUUUGUCAGCAACUCAAGAAGUAAAAUAUCCGAAUUUACAGGAGUAUAAUUUAGUACAGUGACUCAAAAGGC